CCUAUUUUGCUUAACAUUUACUAAAUUGUCAACAUAAACAACAAACAGUUAUGUUGUUUUUUUUUCCCCAAAUAUUAUUAUGACUCCUUUACACCUGCCAUUUUCGUUGAUACAAAGAAACAAGACAUCUUUAGAAUGCAGGAGCAGAAGAACGUAGCUUAGGUAUAAGAUCCUUUGUGAAACUCCAUAAUCCACAUGUUGUAAGCACAGCAUACGACUUGAAAGCCAGAAAAACCAGAUUUCAGAGCUAAUGCCUCAAAUUCUUUUUGGCUCCUCUCUUUACCUCCAGGAUUAUGAGCUAACAUGAGUAAAUCUUCCUCAGACAAUAUGUGAAGAAGUGAUAUUCUCUGGUUUUACAGGAAGAAUUGCUUCCGCAAUGAUCACCUUACCAUUGCUAGGGAGAGCAUCCCAACAGUUGUUGAGAAGUUUCAAGCAAUGCUCAUCACUCCAAUCAUGGAGAAUCCACUGCGCAAUUGGCAAACAAAACAACAGAAGACAUCAAUUGAAGCUGCAUAGCAUCUUUGAUUGAUAGUUUUUGGUCGUGACUUCAAUUGAAAAGGCUUGCCUUCAUGAAAAUAGCAUCUCCCUUAGGUACACUCACAAACAUAUCCCCCCCAACAUGAUCCACAUCUGGGUAUGAAGGAGCAUCGGCUAAUACAUGGGGCAAAUCAUAAUUGAUGCCCUUAAUGUGAGGAUACUUAGAAGUGAUGAUGUUAAGAGGAACUCCAAUACCACCUCCCACAUCCACUAAAACAUGGAGGUCCUCAAAUCCUUUGUAAACAUCAAGAAUCUUAUUCAUGAAUAAAGUGGUAUGGUUUGACAUAGCUUGGUUGAAUACCCUGUUGAACCUUUGAUCAAUCCCUUGGUAUUCAAAUGCUGUCAUUCCGUAGGCUUUGUUGAAUGGGAUCCCACCUUCAAGUAUUGUAUCGUUCAAGUGGAACCAACUCUUCAUGAAGAUCUCAUCGUGGUGCAGCAAAUACAGAGGAGCUAUAGGCCCUUCUCUAUCUUGAUUCCUAGUAAGGAACUCGCAUAUGGGUCCUGCACCAUACAAUCUUUCAACAUGUCCAUGCUCUUUGGUGUGGAGAAAGCACUUGAUUAUGUCGUAGCUUGCAAGGAGGCGCAACAUCCGAUCCACAACGAUUGCUGCAUCCGGGUUCUUUGAGGGGAUCAGAGCUGCAAUCUGAGACGGUGAGAGGUACUCCCCACCGAUUGUGGCAGUGGAGAUGAUGGCAAUGAUGUUGAGCUCGAUAGCUGACUUUAGUACCAUAGGAAGAACCACAGCAUUUGCUAGCCGAAUGGCCAGCUUUCCUGCUUUAUCUUCUUCUUUAUCAUGCUGAGCCAUAACUGAGACCAAUGCAAGUAAAAGUUGCAUUUACGGGGAUUUAAGAGAACUAGGGAUCAUUAUUUUAACUUCUCCUGACAACCUCACAGAUCAUGUUGGUAUCAUUGUAGUGGGAAAACCCAACGUGUGAACAAGGAUUUACUUGACCCUAAAGAUUAUUCUGAGGUUAGGUUGUGAUGGAGAGAUCAUUGACACGAUGACGACCCUUUCAAAUUUUCUGUCCAUCUCUAAACUAUUGGAUUUUAGCAAUUCUCAUCAAAUAUCAAACACCAUGGGACUUGAAUAUUCUUGUUAAAUUAUUAUCUUUUAUGUUUGAAGAGAUAAAUAUAAGUACAUCAACAACUGUAGAUGUUCACCUAAUCUUUGCUAGGCACAAGGGCUUUUCUUUUCUUCUAAAAUCUAUAAACAUAUUUUUGUGAAGAGAAUGCUUAAAACACACUUGUGUCUUCAUAUUUCAAAUCCAUUGUUGCAUUAAUUUCCAGAAAGAAUACAAUCUAACCACAUAAUUGUUAAUUUCCUGUAAGGCAUGCCUCAUGGAAAUAGACCCCCUUAAGAAGCCUCCUGGACCCUGUUGCUCAUUUUCUUUUGUAGAAGACCUUGUGCCAGGCUAACCUUUCUGCCCCAAAACGUUUAUAAUUCGUCCAGACCUCCAUAUUGUGAAUGUGUAAAAACUUUCAAGCAGCAUUUCUAUAUAACCAAAAUAACAAUGCAUUACUCCAUUUCUGCCAUCCAGGAUGAAUAAUCUAAAAUCCCUUUUUCAACCAGUUUCCUUCUCUCUCAUAUUUUACAGCUGCCAAAAUCUUUACAUUGUGCUUGAGCAUUGAACUACUGCUUUGAGUACUUUGACUUAAUUUUCAGAACUCUCAGCCUUGUCACCAACCACAAAACGAUUUUUAUCAGUGUUCAAGCCUGAUGAAUGAAGCUGCUUCCGCCUCUUUACAAGAAGAAGUGCAGUCUGCCUGUCGUCUUUAGCCUCCUCAGAAUAAGGCUUUAUGGCUAAUGCUUUGUCAAAGCUUUCAAUGGCACUAUCAGGUUCCCCAAAGUUUAACUGUGCUCUACCAAGGGUGAUCCAUGCCUGAAAUAAUCACAAUGCAAGAAACAACAAAAUAGUUAUGGCAUAAGCCAAAACAACUACAUUCUUCAAUUUCACUAGAAUUACCCUAAGAUUGAGAUGAAUUAAUUUAUGAGAAUAAUGAUACAAAAUUUCCCAGCGUCUAGCUAAAUCAUUAGCUGGGACUGCAUUUAACACAUCAGUCUGCCAACCAGUUCAGAUUCCAAGCAACUCCACAAGCUCCCCCACAAACAAGUUAAGAUACAGCGAAGAAAGUAGUUUAGCUAUGAAAAUAAAGGUUACAUGCAAGUUAGAAAGAAAGGGAAAGAUAAAAGAGUAAUUUUCUAAAAGAAAAGAAGUGAAAUAGCAGAGAGAAGAGGAUGUGUCCAAAAAGCAGAUAAACAUCAAGCGUAGCUUAUAAAAUAGCUUAGUUUAAGAGUGUGGCUUAGUCAAAUUGAGUUACUUCUGCUUGUAGAUGGGCUUAAUGAGCAAGUUUGUGUAAUGACGAAUAUUGCAAGAAAUCUUUAGGAGUUGAAAAUUAUACAUGUUGCAUUUCAUUUUGCAACUAAAUGUUGUGUACUGACAGAAACUGAAGUUCUAUAGAAUCUAAAAUUAAUAAACCAUUCAAUUAAUGAACUAAUUGAGGGACUAUUAUUUUAAAGUGGGACUAUCAUUUGAAAACAAAUAAGACACCAUGCUGCAUUUGAUAUACAUAUAUGAUAUAACACAUGUAGAUCUAUAAAAAAAAAUAUGAGCAUAGAAUAGUUGUACCUCAGCCCAGGAAGGUUCCAACUCAGUAGCUCCUAUCAAUUAAAAUCAAAGUAAGUCUAUUAAAGUUAUAAAGAUUAGAUUUUUCAUUAAAAUGGGAAAAAAAAGAUCAACAAUCAGCAUCUAUUUGUAAAACAACCAAACCGCAACAAAGCUUUCUUAAAUGUGUAAAUAAAAUAGAAAAUGAUGGAAUCAACAAUAACACAUACGAGUCGCAGCCUUCAAUGCAUUCCAUGCGUCUCCAAUUUCAAGUAAAACUUGUGCCUUUUGUUCGUGUAAGACAGCACUUUCAGGCAUCAAAUUAAGAGCAGCCUCCCACUUCCCAAGUGCUUCACGGUAUUUUCCAUCCUCAGCUAGCUUAUUCCCUUGGGCUUGAAAGGACUCAGCAAGAUGCCUAUCGGAUUCUGAAUUCAAGGGCUCGUGAGAGGCAACCACCAGCUCGCUAUUACUAUGCUCCUCAUCCUUACUACCAAUCUCUAUAGAAUCUCCAGGGUCUUGUUGAUCAAAAGGGAGAUUUGGGUACUUCGAUAUGGCUGCCAGAGAGCGUUUCUUGCUCUUAUUGUCCUUCUUCCAUGUUAGCUUCAUCUCUCGCUUCCUCUGCGCGAACCCUCGGCUCUUCUCUGUCGAAGUCGAAG
rnacentral:misc_RNA from 1 species